ACUAUCUGAUCUGGACCACACAGCAUCUCCGUGUGCCUUCUUCCUGCAGGUGGAAAUCUACCUAAGGAGCAGGUCGGACACGCCUCUCAGAGCACCCCGCGCAAGUGGGAUGGGCCGUGAUUAUGAACACGCAGAGCCAGAGAGACGAGGAAUGAGCAGACUUUAUUUCUCACAACACCGCCCCUCCCGCCUCCCAGUGUGUCGCACGGCAGCGGGCAUCGGGAAGGCCUCAUUCCUCCAGCUUCUGUGGGAGGAAAACAAGCAGGAAAUGAGUCAAACCCAAGGCAAGGCUGAGUACUGCCUUCACGCGGAGCAGCUGGAAAGGCAGGAACUUCCGGAAAAAUAUCGAAGAACGGCAUUGUUUCCCUUUGCACAUCAUAAAAACAAAACCAUGGGUCCCUGGAGAGGGACGAGUCCCCUGAAAAGCAGGGGCUUCCUGGGCCUGACACGGAGGCAUGGGGGUGAUAAGACGUCUGUCCUCUGCCCCGUGAUUCUGGAACCAGCAGGGGCCUGGCUGGAGGGGUGGCCUCUGUACUCUCACUGGGUGUUCCCCGGAUCUCGGCAUCUGGGGAAGACGUCUGCUCUUACCUGAGCCCCCACAUCUCUGCUCUUGGCCCGCAGCUUGUUGACCUGGGACUCGGCAAUGUCCGCUCUCUCCUCCGCCUCCUCCAGCUCGUGCUGGACCCUCCGGCACUUGGACAGCUGCGUGUUGGCCUGCUCCUCCUGAAUGGGGAGAUGGAGGGACAGGAGGCAGUUCCUCACUCUGGCUCUGAGCUUGUUCACCAGAUCCUGGAGCCUGAGGAUGUUCUUGUGGUCCUCCUCGGCCUGCAAACAUAGCACCGUGCCACCGCCACCACAGCUUAUGCCGGGGUCGGAGCAACCUGGAGCUCAUGGAGGCUUUGGAGACACCUACCUGGAUAGAGCGCGGUCAACCCUUUGCGUGAGGUCUCGGCACGACCCAGGCGUGUUGCCCCACCUGAACCAUGCUGAGGGAGGAGUGGCCAGAACGCUAAGUCUUCACCAACGUUCUGGAGCUUGAAGACUUCAGUACUAAGCGACCUGGAUCCUUUCUGAGCAGCUUCCAACUCGGCCUGACUCUCGUCCAGUUUUUGCUUCCACUCUGCAAGGACCUGGGAGAUGGCACAGGGACACGUGAACAGCAGGAAGGACCACGGCACCUGGGAGAGCCCAGGAAAAUGAGGGCUGUCUGUGAGCAACAUUGAGGUUUUACCCUUCCAUCCUGGGGACUCGAGAAACAGGGCGGGGCUCUGUCCUAGAUCGCGGGCCCCAGACUGGGAUGCUCUCAUGGGUCUUCCGCGGCAUCUCAGAGUAAUCUGAAUUAGCUUGAACUAAAAAUCCACUUUGGAGGGACUGUCAGGAACGCAAAGAGACACUACAAAGCCCAGCCUCCCACACGCCCUGACCUGAUGCUCGUAGACCUCCCAGGUGGGCGUGUCUCUCACAUGCGCAAGCGCGACAGGGUGUGGCACUCUGGGGGCCAGACCUUAUCGAAGUCCCUCUGCUUCCUGUCCAGGAGGACGCGGGCCGUGUUGGUGCGUUCC